CCCUUAACUAUUAAAAGUUUCGUUUUGGUCCUUUAACUUACUUUUUAGUUUCGUUUUGGUCCCUUAACUCUUCCUCCGUCAACCACUUUGGACUUUUAUGUUAGGAUGAAUGUAUUAAAGUUAAGGGACCAAAAUGAAACCAAAAAAUAAGUUAAGCGACCAAAACGAAACCAAAAAAUAAGUUAAGGGACCAAAACGAAACUUUUAAUAGUUAAGGGA
rnacentral:pre_miRNA from 1 species